rnacentral:rRNA from 1 species
AUUGAACGCUGGCGGCAGGCCUAACACAUGCAAGUCGAGCGGAUGAAGGGAGCUUGUUCCUGGAUUCAGCGGCGGACGGGUGAGUAAUGCCUAGGAAUCUGCCUGGUAGUGGGGGAUAACGUCCGGAAACGGGUGCUAAUACCGCAUACGUCCUGCGGGAGAAAGUGGGGGAUGUUCGGACAUCACGCUAUCAGAUGAGCCUAGGCCGGAUUAGCUAGUUGGUGGGGUAAAGGCCUACCAAGGCGACGAUCCGUAACUGGUCUGAGAGGAUGAUCAGUCACACUGGAACUGAGACACGGUCCAGACUCCUACGGGAGGCAGCAGUGGGGAAUAUUGGACAAUGGGCGAAAGCCUGAUCUAGCCAUGCCGCGUGUGUGAAGAAGGUCUUCGGAUUGUAAAGCACUUUAAGUUGGGAGGAAGGGCAGUGAGUUAAUACCUUGCUGUUUUGACGUUACCAACAGAAUAAGCACCGGCUAACUUCGUG